rnacentral:rRNA from 1 species
UUCGAGUGGCGACGGGUGAGUAACGUGUGGGUAACCUGCCUUACACAGGGGGAUAACACCUGGAAACAGGUGCUAAUACCGCAUAAGCGCACAGGGCCGCAUGGCCCGGUGUGAAAAACUCCGGUGGUGUAAGAUGGACCCGCGUCUGAUUAGCUUGUUGGCGGGGUAGGGGCCCACCAAGGCGACGAUCAGUAGCCGGCCUGAGACGGUGGACGGCCACAUUGGGACUGAGACACGGCCCAAACUCCUACGGGAGGCAGCAG